GGCGACUCUCCCGGAAGCACCUGUACACCCGCUUGGAGCUGGGCAGUGGAGGUGACCAGGCACACUAGUCAUUGACACCCUGUUAAGAAGAAAAGGCUCGGCUCAGCAUCUUUGGAAGGCAGCUCUGUCUGAAUUCCUCACCCAGACCUAUGUGGAGUGAAGCUCCGGUGGCCCCCAUCAUAGCAGAGUGCAGAGGUCUUUCAAAGCACAGGCAUCCUGACCCUUUAGUUGGCAGAGGAAAGAGACUCCCAGCAAUCAACCCCUGGUAUAGUUGUGCUGAGCACACAGAGGUGGUGGAGCCGAGCAAGGUAACUCUACCACACACUUACCGCUUAACCUUGAAGUUGGUACCAGGGCACAGGCCUGUUGCCAACUCGUGAAGAAUGCUUUCUCAAUCCGCAUCCCACUCUGAGGUCAAAGCCAUCACAGGUACUUUUGGCCAGCAAAUGCUUGUAAUCUCAGAAGCAAACAGGACUGCCAAGUUCACGUUGCCAUGACUCUGAACAUGGUACACCAUUUUCCACUCCAAGUCAGAGCCUGCAACUCUCUGGCUAUUCAGCCAAGAGCUCUGUUGGUACCAUUCUGACUCACACACACUGGCUAUGGUCGUGGAGCAGGUGAAGGACUUAAGUGUCACUAAGUUGGUUUCCAGUUGCUUCCAGGAAAAAAAAAAAAGAUCAUUGGCACACAAAAUUCUUGCUCCUAACACGUGACGCUUCCCUCCUGUGUUCACAAGCCGUGGAAAGAGAGAUCUCGGCUUUGGUUGCAGUGUCUAUACUUUUAGGGGGUCCAACAUAACAGAAAGCUAGAGACCCUAGGGACUUAGACACUGUGGGGGUGGAGCAUACAACCAAACCAAACCAAACCAAACCAAACCAAACCAAGCCAAACAAGCAAAACACUCUCU